GAUGAACGCUAGCGGCAGGCCUAACACAUGCAAGUCGAGGGGUAGAACACUUCGGUGUUUGAGACCGGCGCACGGGUGCGUAACGCGUAUGCAAUCUACCUUGUACAGGGGAAUAGCCCAGAGAAAUUUGGAUUAAUGCCCCAUAGUAUAUAACCUUCGCAUGUUGGUUAUAUUAAAGUUCCAACGGUACAAGAUGAGCAUGCGUCCCAUUAGUUAGUUGGUAAGGUAACGGCUUACCAAGACGAUGAUGGGUAGGGGUCCUGAGAGGGAGAUCCCCCACACUGGUACUGAGACACGGACCAGACUCCUACGGGAGGCAGCAGUGAGGAAUAUUGGUCAAUGGGCGCAAGCCUGAACCAGCCAUGCCGCGUGCAGGAAGACGGUCCUAUGGAUUGUAAACUGCUUUUAUACAGGAAGAAACCCUCCCACGUGUGGGAGAUUGACGGUACUGUAGGAAUAAGGAUCGGCUAACUCCGUGCCAGCAGCCGCAGUAAAAC
rnacentral:rRNA from 1 species